rnacentral:rRNA from 1 species
GAUGAACGCUAGCGGCAGGCCUAAACAUGCAAGUCGAGGGGCAUCGCGGUGCAGCAAUGCACUGGCGGCGACCGGCGUACGGGUGCGUAACGCGUAUGCAACCUGCCCCGCACCGGGGGAUAGCCCGCCGAAAGGCGGAUUAAUACCCCAUGGUCCCGGGGGCCCGCAUGGGCAUCCGGGUAAAGCCUUGGCGGUGCGGGAUGGGCAUGCGUGCCAUUAGCUGGCUGGUGGGGUAACGGCCCACCAGGGCAACGAUGGCUAGGGGGUCUGAGAGGAUGGUCCCCCACACUGGUACUGAGACACGGACCAGACUCCUACGGGAGGCAGCAGUGAGGAAUAUUGGUCAAUGGGCGGAAGCCUGAACCAGCCAUGCCGCGUGCGGGAUGAAGGCCCUACGGGUUGUAAACCGCUUUUCCCCGGGAAGAAUAAGCCCCCCGCGGGGGGUGAUGCCGGUACCGGGGGAAUAAGGAUCGGCUAACUCCGUG